UACGAGGGGUGCAAGCGUUGCUCGGAAUUAUUGGGCGUAAAGGGUAGGUAGGUGGUCUCAUUUGUCUGAGGUGAAAGCCUUGAGCUUAACUCAAGAAGUGCCUUAGAAACGGUGAGACUGGAGUCCUGGAGAGGGUCGUGGAAUUCCCGGUGUAGCGGUGAAAUGCGUAGAGAUCGGGAGGAACACCAGCGGCGAAGGCGGCGACCUGGACAGGUACUGACACUCAACUACGAAAGCGUGGGUAGCAAACAGG
rnacentral:rRNA from 1 species